UUGUCUCUCUUUUAUUUUACAAACUUUUUUAGAUUAAACACUAUUAUAAGAACACUUGUAGGAUUUAGAUAUAGAUUUUAAGGGUGCUAUAUGAUAAUUGUAUAUUUGGUUUCAUUCAAGGAUCUUGGUGGAGCAUCAAGGUUCUAAAGUAAAAGGAGGUACUUUACACCUCCAAAAUAAUUGUGGGGGUUAUUUCUGAAACAAGUAAGGUUGUUGGGGAUUGAAGUGAGGUCAUAGCAAAUAAGAUUUCUUGCGCCAGAAGAUAUAAGGAUUUCUGUAGGCAUCUCUUGCCUGGUUGUUCUGCUUUAUUUUUUUUAUUUUGGCUCGAGGGUUUUGGCCUAGUCCCCCCUCUUUUGUACAUAUUUUCCCCCCUUUUUUAUUAAUAUUAUUUAUUAGGUUGGCGGUAGAGGAUGGGCGUUCUGUGGAGUGCCAACCUAGUUGGGAUGCCACAGGUACACCUUGAUGCCUAACCUUCCUAUUGGCCUAUCAAAAAAAAAAAAUCCAAAGACAUUGGGAUUCAUCCAAUUUCAAGAAGCUUGAAGAUUGAAGGCUUUGAAUGGUUACAUAGUGUGUAAGAUUUAGGAUCGUGGUGAUUCAUAAAUUGAAGGAACUUUUUAAUUAGCUCUCAUAUACAUUUUCAACAUUCUAUAGUGGAAGUUUGUAGAAGAGACGUUUUAUUCUACGAAUUGAGGAUGCACCCAUAGCUAAAACAAUCA
rnacentral:lncRNA from 1 species